rnacentral:rRNA from 1 species
CCUGGCGGCCGUAGCGCGGUGGUCCCACCUGACCCCAUGCCGAACUCAGAAGUGAAACGCCGUAGCGCCGAUGGUAGUGUGGGGUUU